CAGCCGCCGCGGGAAUACGUAGGUGGCAAGCGUUGUCCGGAAUUAUUGGGCGUAAAGGGCUCGCAGGCGGUUUCUUAAGUCUGAUGUGAAAGCCCCCGGCUCAACCGGGGAGGGUCAUUGGAAACUGGGAAACUUGAGUGCAGAAGAGGAGAGUGGAAUUCCACGUGUAGCAGUGAAAUGCGUAGAGAUGUGGAGGAACACCAGUGGCGAAGGCGACUCUCUGGUCUGUAACUGACGCUGAUGCACGAAAGCUAGGGGAGCAAACAGGAUUAGAUACCCGAGUAGUCCCUGUCUCUUAUAC
rnacentral:rRNA from 1 species